CCAUGUCACUAAUUCAAAGCUUCACAAGUUGACAUGUGUCCCUCUUAGCCAAAACGCACAGUUUCAUUGAAGGAAUUGUAAAAGAGAUAUGGGCUAUAUUUUGGGUGUGGGCUUUAAAUCUAAAUCUAAAAUCCAUGACAUUUGGUCUUCGUUUUUAUCGCUCCGGAAUAAUAUCCAAGGUCGCCGGCCGAAGUGCUGAACCUCCUCCGUAGAAUCUUUCAACCAUCGUUCCCGACAUGUCCUUUUAGAGCAUGCACCCGGUAUCUUAUCAAAUGGUUUUCUACUCACCGGCGAAACGUUACAGAAGUCGGAUGCAUUCAGUCGUCGUCUUUAAUGCAUUCAUUAACAACCUUUUCCCAUUCCUCCCACGAUUUGUCAUUCAAUGUAUCUCCAUUACUGCCAUUGUGUGAACUUUCAACUAUAAAUAGGGCUGAAGUGGCUAAGGUGGAAAAACUUAAAAAAGAACUCCAAAAAGCCAAACUGCUUGAAUCGUGUAAACGUGUUGUGAAAGCAAGAAAGAUGAACCAAGGCUAUGUAAUCAGAUGGUUUCAGUAAUAAUAAUUUUAGAAGGGAGUCGACAUAGAGAUGAAUCCCAUAUACCUUUUAUUUUCGAAUCCCUUAUAUCAGACCUCUUUUUUUUUCUUUUCUUUAGGGUAAAAAUCAGGUCUCUCUAUAGUGUAGAUAUUAUUGAACUUCUGUACAUAAAACAUUCAAUUUGUAACCGACUGUAAGUGUUUGGAAACAAACAGAACUAUUUAUAUA